ACAACUGACAUUCAAAUUUUUGCUGACCAUUAGAAAUACCUAAGUUAGGCAUUCUAAACAUUAAAAAUGAAAAACUAAAAUUCGAAUUUUUUAAAGCUCAAAUUCUGUCCGUGCCCUUUUAACAAAGGACAGAUACCAACCUAUUGGGCAGUAUUCUGUCCAGAAUGUCAGAGAAUGGAUACAAAGAACAAUGGUGUGACGUCACAACAAUGAUUUAAAAAUAUGCCCAUGGUGGCUGGUUACUGUCUACACAGAUACUCGUCAAAUAGACAAGCCACUCAUCAGGUUGUAGAAGAAGUCCCGAAGAUUUUCCGUAGAGAACACAUUUCCCGUUUUUGUGUUCGCUUUGUUAAUAAUUAAAAUAAAGUUUUAAUGUAUUUU